rnacentral:rRNA from 1 species
AUGGGAUGCAGACCAUGGCCGGUUAAGGAAGAUGGCCGCGACAGACAUUCCCGCCUAGCACCGUCGGAGUGCGUCAUGGGCGGCGGUGGCGAGGGCCUUGUUGGCCUCCUGCAGCUCCCCCCACCGCCUGCUCCUUCAGGCUCCAUGUGUCGCUAUAAAAAGAAGCGCGGUCAACUUGAUUGGGGAAAGAGGUACAAGAUCAUAAGCGAAAUCGCUCGAGGCCUACGGUACCUCCACGAAGACUCGCAGCUCAAAGUAGUCCACCGCGACCUUAAGGCGAGCAACAUCUUGCUUGACACCAACAUGAACCCCAAGAUUUCCGACUUCGGCCUCGCGAGGCUCUUCAGGGGAGACCAGACGCAGGGCAUCACCAGCCGUGUCGUCGGAACAUAUGGUUACAUGGCACCGGAGUACGUGUUGCGCGGGAACUACUCGGUCAAGUCGGACGUGUUCAGCUUCGGCGUCAUGGUUGUGGAGAUCGUGACGGGAAAGAAGAAGAACGACUGCUACACCUCCCGGCUAUCGGAAGAUCUGCUGACGCUUGUGUGGGAGCAGUGGACGGCCGGGUCGGUAUCCGAGGUGAUAGACCCGUGCUUGGGCGGUAGCUUGAGACUCCGCGGGCCGGCCGGCGAUGUCGUCGGUGGUCAUGAUGCUCGGCAGCGACACGGUGUCUCUCCAGGCCCCGCCCAAGCCGGUGUUCUACGCCAGGAGAAACGGCUCGGCCACGUCCUCCAGCAUGUCCACGGCGUCAGCAUAGGGCCCAGUCCUGCAAGUUCAGAAUAA